rnacentral:pre_miRNA from 1 species
AGUAGAAUUGCUGGGUCAUAUGGUAAUUCUACAUCUAGCUUUUAGAGGAACUCCCAGACUCUUUUCCAAAGCAGGUGCACUAUUUUGCUUUCCCUCCAGCAGU